rnacentral:tRNA from 1 species
GGCGCGGUAGCAAAGCGGCAGUGCAGCGGAUUGCAAAUCCGUCCAGACCGGUUCGACUCCGGUCCGCGCCUCCA